GGCGCAGUGGCAGAGUGGUCUAAUGCGAUAGACUAGAAUACCUCAGUUGAGGUUUCUAGCUCAUCUAUUCCCUUCGGGGGCGUCUGUUCGAAUCAGGCCUGCGUCG